UUCCUUAUAGUUUAUUUAAAACAUUACAUUUUCACUGUAAAAUAAGAAAGCCCUCUUUCUUAGGGAAU
rnacentral:tRNA from 1 species